UUGUGUUUGUUUUUUAUUUUCUUGAAUGAAAUAAUUUGUAAAAUCAUUAUUAGAAUUUCAAAUUUUUCAAAUAGUAAGUAUCUAUUACAUGUCUUCCUUUGAGUUGAUUGUUUUCUCAUAAAGUUUACUGAUUGUUUACCCAGAAACAAGUGCUAGUGUUGGGGCUUGGGAGUGUCAUGUUGUGCUCGUCCACCAGAGGUCGUCCUCGAGCCGAAGCUUGCUCCUACUACAGGUGUUCCUGGUCUUAGGCUAAUUGUGGGUGCUUUGGAGGAGUACUUAGGAGCCAGCCGCCAGUCCCUUGACGCCUGAGUGUUUUGCCCAUGUGGUAAUCUCCAGCCCGAGUAACUACCAGUCAUUCUCUGUGUCUAGUUAGUAACCAGUGCCUUGUUUUUCCUGCUUCAUUCCAGUACCUGUGAGGUGUGGGCAGAUUGGUGCUACCUGGACCUUGAUCAAACCUGGACUACCUGCUGAAAGUCUGUGAUUUUGGAUUUCCUGCAAUUUUGGCUGUUGACUUGGCUCCUAAACCUCCAAGGAUUCUGUCCCUGGGAGAACUCGCACCUGGUUUGGAUAUUGUACUGCUGAAUUACCUCCUGGACUACCGGACUCCCAACCUCAUCAGAAGCCCUCCUGGCUCAGUAACAACCUGAGACCAAAGAGUCCUAGAAGCCUGUGUUCCUACCUGUGGUUGCCUUACCAAGGAACCCAUUAACUUAAAUCUGAGCUGUACAAAUAAACCUUUUCUCAACUUUA